GUUUCUGUAGCUCAGUUGGUUAGAGCGCUGCUCCGGAAUCGCAGGGCCGUAGGUUCGAUUCCUACCAGAGGACC
rnacentral:tRNA from 1 species